rnacentral:rRNA from 1 species
UACGGAAGGCAGCAGUGGGGAAUAUUGCACAAUGGGCGCAAGCCUGAUGCAGCCAUGCCGCGUGUAUGAAGAAGGCCUUCGGGUUGUAAAGUACUUUCAGUCGUGAGGAAGGUGUUAAGGUUAAUAACCUUAGCAAUUGACGUUAGCGACAGAAGAAGCACCGGCUAACUCCGUGCCAGCAGCCGCGGUAAUACGGAGGGUGCGAGCGUUAAUCGGAAUUACUGGGCGUAAAAGGCACGCAGGCGGUUAAUUAAGUUGGAUGUGAAAUCCCCGGGCUUAACCUGGGAAUGGCAUUCAAGACUGGUUAGCUAGAGUCUUGUAGAGGGGGUAGAAUUCCAUGUGUAGCGGUGAAAUGCGUAGAGAUGUGGAGGAAUACCGGUGGCGAAGGCGGCCCCUGGACAAAGACUGACGCUCAUGUGCGAAAGCGUGGGGAGCAAAC